CCUGAUAUCUCCACCGCCCACGGCCUCGCCUUGUCCCAACUACAAAAGCGAACCCAAUCCCUCUUGACUCCUCUCAUCCGCCUCGUCUAACCACCACCACGAGGGAGAGUUAAAGUCGCCAGUACAGAAGAGUGAAGGGGAGAGGGUUGCUGGGUCCGAUUCGGUGGGCUCAUCGCCGUCGGGUCCACGAAUUGGUGCCUAGGAGUCUCGCGUGCUUCGGGGACAUAAUCGAUGGUCUCGCUGCGGUGGGUUGGUGGCUGGAGACCUCAGAAUUCGUCGUCAUAGUGCGAGCUCCUCCGCGUGUGCACCGUGCGCCGUGGCCAGGGGUGUCUGCGCUGCAAUUGCCAGGCAUACAAGAUGACGAUGGUGCAAUGCAAGUGUUUGGUGCUUUUGGUUGAUAGAAGCUGCUGGAUGCUUUUGGUAUUUUUGAAAGAUGCAAGUCGUGCUUCUGGUUGAUACUUAGAAGUUGGUGGUUCAAAACUGAAAAACCUGUCAGGCUGUCACUUGCUUUUGGUUUCUUGUCAAACUGCUGGGCGCCUGAACACUGCUGUGCACCGUACGUCAGGCUGUCCUCAUGCAUCUGUUAACAGAUCUUUUGUCCUCUGCUGCUUAGACUGCUUUAUGAAAUUUGAAAUGUGAUGAGACUUAUGCCUUAUGGUGACUGGUGAUAGCUUAUUAGAUUAGAGUAUCAUACUUUUGGUCAUGGUCUUAUGGAAUAUGGAAUGUGAUGGGAUCAUUGGACCGCAUGGUAUGGGUCAUGGAUGUGUAAAUAAAUUAUAAUUUCAUUAUUUCAUCUCUCGUCUAUUAAGUAUUAACAGUUUAUUA
rnacentral:lncRNA from 1 species